GAUGAACGCUGGCGGCGUGCCUAAUACAUGCAAGUCGAGCGAACAGACGAGGAGCUUGCUCCUUUGACGUUAGCGGCGGACGGGUGAGUAACACGUGGAUAACCUACCUAUAAGACUGGGAUAACUUCGGGAAACCGGAGCUAAUACCGGAUAACAUGUUGAACCGCAUGGUUCAACAGUGAAAGACGGUCUUGCUGUCACUUAUAGAUGGAUCCGCGCCGCAUUAGCUAGUUGGUAAGGUAACGGCUUACCAAGGCAACGAUGCGUAGCCGACCUGAGAGGGUGAUCGGCCACACUGGAACUGAGACACGGUCCAGACUCCUAAGGGAGGCAGCAGUAGGGAAUCUUCCGCAAUGGGCGAAAGCCUGACGGAGCAACGCCGCGUGAGUGAAGAAGGUCUUCGGAUCGUAAAACUCUGUUAUUAGGGAAGAACAAAUGUGUAAGUAACUACGCACGUCUUGACGGUACCUAAUCAGAAAGCCACGGCUAACUACGUG
rnacentral:rRNA from 1 species